ensembl:lncRNA
GUAAAUUCACUUGUCUUUGUGUUUUAAUGGAGAAGCAGUGGUGCUGUCAGUGGUAUUAAAUGGAAACUCUGCCUACUUUAAUAAUUAACAAGCUCUGUCUUUUCCAACUUUUGUUAAAUGUACAAAAAUGAAAACUUUAUGAGCAUUUCACGCAUGAGAAGCUUGCUAAUAAUAAAUAAGUUGAAUCAUGUUGCCUGCUGUUGCACUUCUGAGUGAAUCAUUGGAAUUUUCGCAUUAAGACUAAAGUAUGGUUCACUCUCAUCUCUCUUUUCUUCUAAUGUGUUUCACUCUAAUGGUUGCAGGAGGGUUUUUGUCUUUUCUUUUUUCAGUGAACUGGGGAAGGGGCAUGUCAGGGUGGAAACUUGGUUGUUGUACGCACAUUUUGAGCUGUUUUUAAUUUUAGAAUUUUUUUUGUGUUAGCAUUUUUAUAUUUGAAAUAUUUUUGAUACAAAUUAGAAAAUAAUGUAAAACAAAAAAAAGAACUAGACAAUUUUUUUCUUGUUCACCUUCAGUAUCUCACAGCGAUGGAAAGUCUGCAAAUAUUAAUCUUUGGUGGCAAACUUGGAGGACCAUUCGUUGUAAGAUAAGAUAAGAUAAGAUAAUAUAACCUUUAUUAGUCCCACACGUGGGAAAUUUGUUUUGUUACAGCAGUGGACAGUUGCAUAGAAAAAUUAGAGAAAAACUCUGGAAUAUGUUAUCAAUAAGAUACUGUACACAAUAGAAUAUAAUAAAAUAAAAUAAAAUACUAUAUACAACCGAAUAAAAUAGAAUACAAAUGCUAUAUACAAUAUGAGUGUCAGGGUCCUGGGACUGGGCGACCCAGGAUCCCUGAGCAGUCAUGUAUUUUAUUAUUAUUAUUAUUAUUAUUAUUAUUGUUGUUGUGUAUUUUGGUGUUGCUCCCCCUUCCCUGUGCUAGUGUGUAUGUGUGUGUGGGUGGCUGAGCACUUGUUUAUAGGCGGCGUCAGGCCUGGAGGGUGUGGCCCUGCAAGGGGACUGGCCACACCCGAAGCCACACACCUGCUGCUGAUCAGGCCUCGUCGGGGGAGCUACUUAAGAGAGUCUUGGAGCUCCCACCGACGCGGGAUCAUUGCAUGAGACUCCACGGAGAGCGUGGAAGGCACGGAGAGCAGCGAG